UUAAAGAUGGUAAAAAUCCCCUUUAUCUGACUCUUAAUCCGUAGGUUGGAGGUUCGAGUCCUCCACGGCCCA
rnacentral:tRNA from 1 species